rnacentral:rRNA from 1 species
UACGUAGGUGACCAGCGUUGUCCGGAUUUACUGGGCGUAAAGAGCGCGCAGGCGGUCGUUCAAGUCGAAGUGUGAAAGCCCCCGGCUCAACUGGGGAGGGUCACUCGAUACUGAUCGACUUGAAGGCAGGAGAGGGAAGCGGAAUUCCCGGUGUAGUGGUGAAAUGCGUAGAUAUCGGGAGGAACACCAGUGGCGAAGGCGGCUUCCUGGCCUGUUCUUGACGCUGAGGCGCGAA